UCCGUAGGCGGUGCGGCAAGUCGGAAGUGAAAUCUCAGGGCUUAACCCUGAGGCUGCUUCCGAAACUGCCGUGCUGGAGUGCGAGAGAGGCGAGUGGAAUUGCAGGUGUAGCGGUGAAAUGCGUAGAUAUCUGCAGGAACAUCCGAGGCGAAAGCGGCUCGCUGGAUCGCAACUGACGCUGAGGGACGAAAGCUAGGGGAGCAAACCAGGAUUAGAUACCCUGGUAGUCCUAGCCCUAAACGAUCAGGACUGGGCGUGGGCCUCGGUACGGGGCUCGUGCCGCAGCUAACGCGUUAAGUCCUGCGCCUGGGGAGUACGGUCGCAAGGCUGAA
rnacentral:rRNA from 1 species